AGAGUUUGAUCCUGGCUCAGAAUCAACGCUGGCGGCGUGCCUAACACAUGCAAGUCGAGCGAGAAAGGGGGGGCAACUCCCUGAGUAAAGCGGCGCACGGGUGAGUAACACGUGGGUAAUCUGCCCUGGAGUGGGGAAAAACAUCGGGAAACCGGUGCUAAUACCGCAUACGAUCACGAUGUCUGCGGAUGUUGUGAUGAAAGGAGCAAUUCGCUCCAGGAGGAGCCCGCGGCUGAUUAGCUAGUUGGCGAGGUAAUGGCUCACCAAGGCCACGAUCAGUAUCCGGUCUGAGAGGACGGUCGGACACACUGGAACUGAGACACGGUCCAGACUCCUACGGGAGGCAGCAGUGGGGAAUUUUUCGCAAUGGGGGCAACCCUGACGAAGCAACGCCGCGUGGGUGAUGAAGUAUCUCGGUACGUAAAACCCUUUCGACGGGGACGAAAGCCGCAAGGCUUGACGGUACCCGUAGAAGAAGCCCCGGCUAACUCCGUGCCAGCAGCCGCGGUAAUACGGGGGGGGCGAGCGUUGUUCGGAAUUACUGGGCGUAAAGGGUGCGUAGGCGGUCCGCUAAGUUAGAUGUGAAAACUCUGGGCUCAACCCAGAGCCUGCAUCUAAUACUGACGGGCUAGAGUUCUGGAGGGGAUAGCGGAAUUCCUGGUGUAGCGGUGAAAUGCGUAGAUAUCAGGAGGAACACCGGUGGCGAAGGCGGCUAUCUGGACAGAGUCUGACGCUGAGGCACGAAAGCUAGGGGAGCAAACAGGAUUAGAUACCCUGGUAGUCCUAGCCCUAAACGAUGGAUACUUGGUGUAGCUGGGAUUGAAUCCAGCUGUGCCGAAGCUAACGCAUUAAGUAUCCCGCCUGGGGAGUACGGUCGCAAGGCUGAACUCAAGGAAUUGACGGGGGCCCGCACAGCGGUGGAGUAUGUGGUUUAAUUCGACGCAACGCGAAGAACCUUACCUGGGCUCGAACGGCCAGUGACAGGAGGGGAAA
rnacentral:rRNA from 1 species